AGUGAACGCUGGCGGUAGGCCUAACACAUGCAAGUCGAACGGCAGCACAGUAAGAGCUUGCUCUUACGGGUGGCGAGUGGCGGACGGGUGAGGAAUACAUCGGAAUCUACUUUUUCGUGGGGGAUAACGUAGAGAAACUUACGCUAAUACCGCAUACGACCUACGGGUGAAAGCAGGGGAUCUUCGGACCUUGCGCGAUUGAAUGAGCCGAUGUCGGAUUAGCUAGUUGGCGGGGUAAAGGCCCACCAAGGCGACGAUCCGUAGCUGGUCUGAGAGGAUGAUCAGCCACACUGGAACUGAGACACGGUCCAGACUCCUACGGGAGGCAGCAGUGGGGAAUAUUGGACAAUGGGCGCAAGCCUGAUCCAGCCAUACCGCGUGGGUGAAGAAGGCCUUCGGGUUGUAAAGCCCUUUUGUUGGGAAAGAAAAGCAGCAGGUUAAUACCCCGCUGUUCUGACGGUACCCAAAGAAUAAGCACCGGCUAACUUCGU
rnacentral:rRNA from 1 species